GGAGCUGCCAUUCUUUCGUGGGCUCUAUUCAUUCACUCUACCUUGUUCGGAUCGGAAGUGUGUCCAUCAAUAUUUUCGUUUGCUUACAUAGAGCUCAGUCUUAAUUUGUGUUGAACAAUGUGAUAUCAUGACAUUAAAAAUUGUACUGAGCACAGUGAUCCAACUGGAUGGAAUGUGACGAACAUUUUCGUUGGCGAAUUUCAACUACACCAGGUCCAACCGGGCUGGAAGCCGGUCGUCACACGUGCUGAUGAGGGCCUCAUCACGGCAUUUCCACCACAAGAAUGACAGCAUCCUGGCUGCCAUUCCAGUCGUUAAUUGACGAUGGAUUACCUACUUCACCCCAACUGUUAUCCGGAUCUGCUUUCCAUGGCCUCAUCCAGAAAACUCGGCAUCCUGGUCGCCAUUCCAGUCGUUAAUUGACGAUGGAGUACCUACUUCACCCCAACUGUUAUCCGGAUCUGCUGUCCAUUUGCCCAGAUGAUCGGAUAAGAGAAUCCAAUUGUCUCCGCUGAUGCGAGAAACCGCCCGUCGGGUGAAAACGACAGCCAAUCUACAUAACUUGAAUGUUGCUUGAGAAAUCUCGUCUUUUCCUUUGCCAGCG